UGCGAGAAUCAAUCGCUAGAAAUAGAGGAAAGUCCGUGCUAUCACUGACUGAGAUGUCAGUAGUGUGCGUGCCAGACCUAAUAAGUCUGGGCUUAGACGACAGUAGAAGCCUAAGUCGUAAGAUAGGGUGUAUACUUUAAAGUGCCACAGAGACUAUAUCUUUGCGAAAGCAAGGGGUGAAAAGAGGUAAACUCCGCGCGAUAGAAACCCAAAUUUCGGUAGGGGAGUCUGAUAGAAGGAAUUCAACUGACAUCAGAUAGUAAAACUAAGAUAAAUGAUUGAUUGAAAAACAGAACACGGCUUAUC
rfam:Eggerthia catenaformis OT 569 = DSM 20559 genomic scaffold acdBZ-supercont1.1, whole genome shotgun sequence.